GUACAGGGAGGUGAAGUGACUUUCCCACGGCUAAGCAGGGAGUCUGUGGCAGAGCAGAGAACCAAACCCAGCACCCCCGAGCCCCCAGGGCUGUGACUGAACCACUGGGCGACCUUCCUACCCAGAGCCUCAGCUGCGCUUUGAGUGUGUCGGUGGGCCAGGCCCUAGACCGAGCCAGCAGGAGGGGGCAUGGGGAAAGGCACAUGGGUGGGAAGCAAGAAGGGGAAACAUCAGGAAGGGGAGCAAAGACUUGGAGAAGAAAGAAGAGAGGGGCAGGGGGAGGGGAAAGACUCCCCAUGGCUUGUCCCUCGCAGCUGCCACCUUCCCACAGCCGUCACUGGCCCACAGCUGCCAGAGGCCCCAAGCAGGAUCUGCAUGUGUCCUUCUGGGGGCAGUUCUCCUCCUCUCUUUGCCUGUGAGCAAUGUGACCCCCCCUGGACAGACUGACGAGCCCAGGAUUCCUUCAGCCUGAAAGCAGAGGGGAGCCUUCACCCACUCCGUCUUUAGGGCUCCAGUCUCAGGACCUAAAUUCCCUGCCACAGCCCAAAAAUCCACACUGGGCCCCACUCCUCUCUCUGGCGAUUUUCCUUCUCCCACAGGCCUGUCUUGAGGACACAGCCCUGGGGCCAGGGGGCUGAUAUUUUGGACUGGACACUGUAGCAGGGAAAGGUGCUGCUGUGCUCCAGAAAAUAAGCCACCUCUGCACCAAAGAGGGAUGAAAGGACCUGCCAAAGCCCGGGAUUGAACCAGGGACCUUUAGAUCUUCAGUCUAACGCUCUCCCAACUGAGCUACUUCGGCAGCUGCAUAGCGCUCCUUUGGCCUGCUGCUGCUCUGUCCGGGAUGUUU